rnacentral:lncRNA from 1 species
GUCUGUGUCCCCUUUACAAAAUUUUGUAAUGGCUUUAUAUAGCCAAAAAGAAAAUACAAAAAAUCCUUAUUUUUGUUUUUCUUUUUUUCUUUCUGCUAUUACAAUUUUUUUCAUUUUUUUCCUAAUUUUUGCUAGUAUUUGCUGUCGGUUUCUGCUCUUCUUUGUUGCGUUUUGUCUGCCUCUGUUUGUUGCAGGUACGGUGCGGGUGUUGCGGUGUGCGUGGCAGAUGCAGAAGGUACGGAGGCACACGUGAGGGGAGCGGCUCGAAGGCGCGGUUCGUGCGAGAGCAGAGCCUGGUUGCAGCGUUGGGGUUUCUGAGUGCUGCUUGGUGUUGGGCCGUCGGGUUAGGGUUAGCCAAUGGGCUUGAUUUUACAAUGGACUGUGGAUUUUUGUUUACUUUGGUUUAUUUUAUUGGUUUAUGGGCUGGGCAAAAAUGGGCUCUUACAAUGAACUUGACUCGGGAGGAGUGUUGUACUGUGGUGGAUAUGACCUAGGAGGAGUGGAGUAAUGUGGUGG